CGCCUGAGGUGAUACGCAAUGAUAAACCUGGUAAAAAAGCCCCUCCUAAGAGACCCCCGAUGAGACCCCCACCGGCCUCUCAGCAAGACGAAGGUCCUUUUUAGACUAUAUUCAUCAAACUAUCACAGAUAUUAAUACUGGAUAUUACAGUAUUUCAGUAUGUUUAGUUACUGUACUCUCUGACCUUCCAGAUGUUUACUUGGACCCAAAUGAAGGACAGGAAUAUGAUACCUAUCUAGCUCCUGUAGCAGGUCAGCACUCCGUGUUUUUAUUACUUAACAUGAUUUUGUAUUGAUAAGUUGACUUGAAUCAUAUCUGUCAUUCUUUAUUUGGUCUUUUACAGAACCUCCUGCACCCCGAAGCCCGGCCCGCAUCCCUAUGCCUCCCAAAACUCUAGGACGAGACCUUCCACCGCAAAUAAUGAAGCCUCCUGUUCCCAGAGCCAAAUCUGUAAGUACUAGUUUGACACAUGCAUGCUUUCAUUACAGUGUUCUUCUCUCUUGAUUCGUUUGUUGGUUUCCUCAGAGCUCGGUCCUGAUCAGUGACACCGCGAACAAAGGUUAGGGAGUUUGUUUCUUGUGUUUAACUCAUGUGUGAUGAUGCAGAGCCAGAGGUACAGCUUCAUUUUCGUCUUCUCUGAUGGUUUAGUUCUGCCGCCGGAAGUAAAACGUGCCACAUUUUCAGGCCAGCUGCCACCUGCACUAAACAACAAACCGGUUUCUCCCAUCAUCCUCCCCAAACAACCCAAACCUAGUCCUCCUCCUCCUCCAUCUCUGGACAGCACAGGUGAGCACGUUUAUUAUUUUCAUUUAUUUGCCAUUCUCUCUAAAAUCUUUUGAUGUAAAUGUAACUGUUAUCGUACGUCACAUAAAAACAAAGAUCAGAAUUAGUCAUCAUUUCCAGAUUCAAUUCAUGUUCUUUCCAUACAGCACUGUCUUUUGGAGCAAAGCCAGUUGCUCAGGUAAACACUUCAGACACAAUCAGUGAUUUAUAUGAUUGGUGACAAAGAUGACGCUGUAUUCAGUCACUGAUUGGCUGAUGGUUUUGAUCACGAUUAGGGGGCGGGGCUACAGGACAAAGACUGGUUUGCUGGAGUUUGUGAACGUAAGACUGCAGAGGAAACCGUGCUCAGGAUGAACAAGGUGUGUCUGCGUUUGUGUGUGAUUGACAUUUUAUUAAAAUACUGCAUGUAUAUCAUCUGUGUUCUGUUCAGUCAUAUUGUCAUGAAAUAUAAAAAAUAUAAACGAU
rnacentral:lncRNA from 1 species